ACAGGGGUAAUAGUUAUUAACUAAAGAAUAGAGAGGCUAAAUGGGUAUAUAGGUAAGAAAAGAAAGAAGAGUAAGGACGAAAAGGAAGGUAGAGAGAGAGAGCUUGGGGCUGCCUUUAAUGACAGGCAGAGUAGGAGGGCUUGUGAGAGGCUGUAGAGUUGACCAAAAGUGCAGUGAACGUUGGCGAGCACGAUGGUGGCAGUGACAGUAGCUCUAGCAGGCAGUGGACAACAACAAAGCUGUGUAGAUGGCAACCACUUGUUGAUAUCGUUUAAGGCAAAUCCAACAACUAAUGGCGAUAGUUUUGGUCUUAAAAUGACCAGCGAUUUGAGGACUUUCUAAUGGGAACAGCUGCAAUGAAAAAUGGUAGCCGGAGCUUGAACUUGCGAUGGAGAGAAAAAAUAGGGCUAUUUUGGAGUUUUGGGAUAUUUUGGCAAUUGCAGUUCAUUUUCUCUACAAAUCGGGUCUAUUCCUGCAAGAAAUACACAACACAAAAAAAAUGAUCAUCUGGACCUACAAAAUUGAAUUCAAUUCAAUCUCCAUCUAACAAUCCAAGUAGUAGCCCAUAAUUAUCCAAUUAAUAUCUAGUCCACAAUUCCAAGUUCCAAUGUGUCCAAAUAAUUUUAAUACCAGUUCUGUAAUUUCA
rnacentral:lncRNA from 1 species